GGUAGUUUACCUGAGGUUAGUUUACCUGAGGUUAGUUACCCUGAGGUAGUUUACCUGAGGUUAGUUUACCUGAGUUAGUUACCCUGAGGUCAGUUUACCUGGGGUUAGUUUACCUG